rnacentral:rRNA from 1 species
GCUGGCGGCGUGCCUAAUACAUGCAAGUCGAGCGAACAGAUAAGGAGCUUGCUCCUUUGACGUUAGCGGCGGACGGGUGAGUAACACGUGGGUAACCUACCUAUAAGACUGGAAUAACUCCGGGAAACCGGGGCUAAUGCCGGAUAACAUAUAGAACCGCAUGGUUCUAUAGUGAAAGAUGGUUUUGCUAUCACUUAUNNANGGACCCGCGCCGUAUUAGCUAGUUGGUAAGGUAAUGGCUUACCAAGGCGACGAUACGUAGCCGACCUGAGAGGGUGAUCGGCCACACUGGAACUGAGACACGGUCCAGACUCCUACGGGAGGCAGCAGUAGGGAAUCUUCCGCAAUGGGCGAAAGCCUGACGGAGCAACGCCGCGUGAGUGAUGAAGGGUUUCGGCUCGUAAAACUCUGUUAUUAGGGAAGAACAUAUGUGUAAGUAACUGUGCACAUCU